CUCCUCAAAUAGGAUUCGAACCUACGACUAAUAAUCGGUCAAGAGCCGAUUGCUCUACCACUGAGCUAUUGAGGA
rnacentral:tRNA from 1 species